UUUCAUUGUCGGUUCUUCUCUCUCAUUUCCCUCCCACACCAGAGCCUUUUCUUCUCUCAUUUCCCUCUUCCGAAUCUUUCCUUACCCAAGUUAUAUUAAAGAUCGUUCAUGGCUUCAACAAAGAUCGUGAGAAGAGCUUCGUUGAUGUUUGUUCUGAAGAACGGAAACCAUUAUAGUCACUUCCUCUUUGAUCGUUCUUAUUCAACUAUAUUUCGUUGAUGUUAGGGUUAUAACUAAUUGUUCUUGUGAGAAUUCCUUAUUUUUAGUUUCUGCAAUUUCAGAAGGAGCUAUUAGAAGACCGAUUGAUCAUCAAUGAUGGUUCACAAGGAUUCUAAGUAUGUCUUCGUUGAGAGGAGGAACUGGAGUUGGAAAACAAUACCCUGAUAUGGUAGUGAUGCUUACUUUCUCUGUUUUCCUAUCACCUAAGGUAUCUGAUACCGUUGUUGUGUAAAGCCCCGUCUCCUUUACCCAUUUUGUGUGCUACUGGUUCCGGUCUCAUUUGAUUAUGUGAAUUAUUUGGUUUUUGAGUAAUGAUACAGCCUGCACUUUCAACCCAACUUAAUCAUGUUUUUUCUGCCAUAACGAGAUUUGUUUCCCAAUCAUUGAAUCUCAAGCUCUAUAGUGUAAUUAAUAUAGCCUAAACCAUUGUUCAGAUUGUUGUUGAGCGUAAUCUGUUUGUAAAAAGAUCCUCGCUUUGUUUUUUCCUAGUUACAAGGUUUUGAGCAGUUUCGCCUUUAAAGUCUGAAGUUUCUCAGUUAGUUCAAGGCAUGUUCUUUUAUUUAAUAUUUAUGGCUUGAUGAGUUAGGUGAUCUCUAGCACUAUUUUUUAAGACCCCUUGCGGCUUAUGCUGUUAAGCUUUCUUAUAUCUUUUUAAAAGUGGUUUGAUGCCUAUUAAUGAAUCUUGGCGACGUACUGUCACUUGGCUUCAGUUUCUCCUUCAUGUUUUUGACAUGAUUCUUAUGUUAGAUGGGUGUGCCAAACAUCCCUAUUUUGGCCAUGGUACUCGUAUUUAUUGGGAUUAAUGUUGACACUAGGUAUACCAUUUUACUGGUUAGUAAGUUUAUGAUUUGUAGAUCCUUGUAGUUGCACAUAGUGGAGAUAUGCAGCAUAGCUAAAGCACCACGAUUUGUUGUCACUCCGAAGGAAAUUGAUGAGAUUUGAUUACUUCUGCAAAAACUGCCACACUGGGCAGCUUGUUCAAAAAUGCAGGCUCUUGAAUUCCUGACACCUAUAUAUAAGGGUCAUCCACGUGUUAUGGAUUAUAUUUUUAAGAGUUUUGGAGUCUUACCCUCCUGAAGGAAUCACUUAUUGUAUGCAUAAACUCCUGCAAGCUCCGGUAUGAUUAUGGGAGAUUAGUUGGAAGGCUAUUUGCUCGGAGCAGCUCAAAGGAGUGAUAUAUUUUCCCGUUGAUAAGGCAUUACUGGUGGGUAGUACAGUAUGUUCUACGGUGUGAUGGGAGAGACAUGCAGCCCAGAGGUAGUGGUGAAAGACUCAACAGUUACCAUGGUUUGAUAAUACCUGCAAAAAAUUUAAGAAAUUAAGUUCCAUACUGCACAUAAACUCAGGUAUUCGAGGUGAAUUUUGAGUUGGUACGAGUCCUUAUUAUCCGUUAUGAUUAUGUGCGAAAAGGGGAACUUGCAGUCACAUGAAGAUGAAAGAUGAAAGCUCCAUAUGAAGCUAAAGCACCAGAACUCGAGAUGAAACAAUCAUGCCUGCUUAUAACAAAGCACAUGCUCAUGAAUUGUCCCUUGAGGGAGUUCCUGAACUCACUCUUACUGGCAUACAAGCAAGCAAGAAAUUAAUCGAAGUCAUUGUGUGCAUGAAGUGUCUCACUUAAUAAUUACUGGACGAUUUUUGUUUUUAUGAUCAGAUGUAUGUUGGUACAUUUCUUGUCGGUAUGGAUAAAGUUCAUUUGGUUAUAAAGUUAGAGAUAAAGUUAAUCGAAAUGAUUGUCUUUCUCACUAAAGAGUUGUCCUUCAAGGUCAUGGACCUCUCUAUGGACAUGCAGUGGACUUGGUUGUUUAAAGUUUUCUUGUUGCUGUUAGUGGCAAGAUGAUGAGUCCAAUAUGCAACAACUCUUGUCUGCGUUGUCGUUUGAGUCAUGUUCAUAAUCUUGCAGGGUGUAUGCUCUCUAUGUUACACAGUUUCAACUUUCAACGGUUAAUGAAAUUUUAACCUUGCGUAAGCAUAAGAAGGGAUGCUUUAUAGAGACUGAUCAUGUUUUCCCUUCUUGGUAUUUUUGGGAAAUAAACAUUUUUGGAAAACUCGGCUCGAAAAACUGCUAAAGGCACCCGGAGGACAUUUGCUAUACGAACCCUAGAUUUGGCUAAGGGGCACCCAAGGUUAUGCGUAACCCAAAUUCAUCCUUAGCACCCAUCUUCUUCUUUUGAAUUUCAUUUUGGCGGGAAAAUGAAGAACAUAACUGUGUGAUUUUCGAUUGAAGUUUGAAGGAGUUCUAGGUAGACUAAAGGGCUGAAAUUUGUUGGGUAGUUGUGAUACGUCCCAACAAAACUAUCAUGAGUGAUUUGAUCGAUUAAAAUUGGCUGGAUUCCCGCGAAGAAGUAAAUAGAGCAACACUUUCUCGGGAAGAGUAUUUCACGGGUUUUGAAGAGUUUGAACAUGUUCUGAUGACUCGAUCAACAUUCUGGAACGUGUAUUGACCUGUUCAGAGUGUGCUGGCAGAGAAUCAAUCAACGCGUGAGGAGGUAAAAUAGGGAAGAAAAUAUUCCCGAGAAUAUUUUUUUUCACUGGCGAGUUAUGAAGAGAUUUCCAGAGUUAAUGCAGAGGUUGGAUGACCCCGUUGAGUAUAAAAUAGGUUCUUGGGCACCAGAAAGGGGUAUGGAGAGUUUGGGGAGUAGUACAACGUGAAAAUCAUAACUGAAGAGAAUAUCUUUCUGCUACUGCGUAAGGAGGAAGAACAUGAAGAACAACAGCUGCUAAAAACAGUCGCUGAAGCUACAGUGACAGCGACAAAGACGUGGCAGUCGUAUAGAUACAGUGACGGUGACACAUUGCUUUUACCGUUCUCCUUAACAGUUUUGUUUGUAACAAAAAUAAGUGUUACAACCCGUUUUAAUAAUUUUUCCUCCCUUUUCAUCUUUGUAAACACUCGUUGAGCAAUAAAAAUGAAUUUUGAGCGUA